UUAAAUUACAAAUUUUUUGGUUAAAGAAUUUGUGAAUUAAGUUGACGAUGUAAAUCUAUGGCAUUUUGAUAAAGCAACUUCUGGUAUAGCAUAUUUCACGAGGCAAUGCUUUCUAACCAGCUUAUGAGAUGGUAAUAAAAUUUACCGGUUACACAGAAUGCAAAAAGGGUUUAAAAAUUAACAGGAACUUUAUUUACUGGUUACACAAUGAAAUAUAUAAGACAAAAUGGCCUAUCUAGACAUAAGUUAUUUUACCAAAACGCCACAUAUAUGUAUAUUCUCAAAACGUUAUUUACAUUUAUUAAUAUAACAUUAUUUUUGAUUUUUUUCUAGGAAAUACAAUUGUGAUUGAUUUGAGGUGUUGGCGUGCCAUUCAGGUGAUUUCAUCAGCGAAUAGCUAUAGCGUAAAGGCGCGAAAAACGAGUUUUGCAACUACUAUUUUAUUGUUCUGCAACCCGUGGAAGUGGUUACUUUUUAACAUUUGCUGCUCUGUUAACAUUAAAAUUCCUUGCAAACAAUGUAUGCUAUCAGAACUGCAGUGGAAUGCAGAAAAUAGCAGUGGAAUGCAUUUUUUAAAACUACAUUUGCGCAUUACAAUAUGUGGUAUCUAUUUUCAUAGUGCAAUGCUUGACUGAACUGGCUGCUUGUUUAGAGUCAGACACUGUGGUCCUGGUCCCUGUGGCUGACUUCGUUGGGUGAUCAUAAAUCCAGGUUGGGCAAAUGCGUACGGAUAAAUCUUUUCCACCUUACGACUUAAUAAAAAGUACCCAAGAAUUUCAUCAAUGUUUUCGUCAUUGAAGAUCAACAAAAUUUUUGAAAAAGUUUUAGCUGUAGAGAUAUAUUUUUUUUAUAAAUUUAAUUAAUUGAAAUUUUCGUCCUACUAAGGUGUUUCGUGUUGGCUUUUGUAAGACAGUCUACAGUGCUAAUGCGCCACUUACUAAAACGUUGGCUGAGUUUAAUUAUAUUCCGAAUAUAAUAGAUUUGGACCUCUCUGGUACCAAACAUUUAUUUCAAACGCAAAUAACAAAAUUAUUUUCUAUGUAAUAACUCAAAUUAAUUCAACACACAUGUUUUAAUA